rnacentral:rRNA from 1 species
GAUGUACGCUGGCGGCGUGCCUAAUACAUGCAAGUCGAGCGAACAGACGAGGAGCUUGCUCCUCUGACGUUAGCGGCGGACGGGUGAGUAACACGUGGAUAACCUACCUAUAAGACUGGGAUAACUUCGGGAAACCGGAGCUAAUACCGGAUAAUAUAUUGAACCGCAUGGUUCAAUAGUGAAAGACGGUUUUGCUGUCACUUAUAGAUGGAUCCGCGCCGCAUUAGCUAGUUGGUAAGGUAACGGCUUACCAAGGCAACGAUGCGUAGCCGACCUGAGAGGGUGAUCGGCCACACUGGAACUGAGACACGGUCCAGACUCCUACGGGAGGCAGCAGUAGGGAAUCUUCCGCAAUGGGCGAAAGCCUGACGGAGCAACGCCGCGUGAGUGAUGAAGGUCUUCGGAUCGUAAAACUCUGUUAUUAGGGAAGAACAAAUGUGUAAGUAACUAUGCAUGUCUUGACGGUACCUAAUCAGAAAGCCACGGCUAACUACGUG